GCCUAUGUGGUGUAGUGGUUUGAGCGUUGGACUACAGCUGUGGAAACCAGGGUUCAAAUCCCUGCCCAGUCA